GAUGAACGCUGGCGGCGUGCCUAAUACAUGCAAGUCGAGCGAACGGACGAGAAGCUUGCUUCUCUGAUGUUAGCGGCGGACGGGUGAGUAACACGUGGAUAACCUACCUAUAAGACUGGGAUAACUUCGGGAAACCGGAGCUAAUACCGGAUAAUAUUUUGAACCGCAUGGUUCAAAAGUGAAAGACGGUUUUGCUGUCACUUAUAGAUGGAUCCGCGCUGCAUUAGCUAGUUGGUAAGGUAACGGCUUACCAAGGCAACGAUGCAUAGCCGACCUGAGAGGGGGGAUCGGCACAACGGAAACGAGACACCGGCCCAGCAUCCAAGGGAGGGAAGAAGAAGGAAACCUCCGGAAAGGGGGGAAGGCUUGACGAAGAAAGGCGGGGUGGGGGAGGAAGGCCUCCGGACCGUAAAACCUUGUUAUUAGGGAAGAAAAUAUGUGUAAGUAACUGUGCACACUUUGCGGGUACCAAAGAAGAAAGCCCCGCCAAAUUCCGU
rnacentral:rRNA from 1 species